UUUGCUGGCCUGUUUGGAGCCCGGUUCCCCGGGUCAGUGUCUCCCACGAAUUGCCAAAACACCAGAGAACGCUCCCCCGAGUCGCGACCCCGGGCAGGUUUCCCCACGGACAGGGCAUCCGACCGCGACGAAUCUCUGGCCUCUCACCGCCGCCGUGACGAAUCUCUGGCCUCCCACUGCCGCCGCAACGUCCAGCUCUGCUCUGCUCCGACGUCCAGCUCUGGCUUGUCGUCCUCCGCGCGUACUCCGCGCUACUGGAUCUCUGGCUUGCUCGUACGGGAUCUCUAGCGCGUACAGGAUCGCAUGACAUCCACUGCUCGUCCUCCGCGCUAUUGGAUCUAUGGCUUGCCGUCCUCAGCGCGUCGUCCCCAUCUCUGGCUUGAGGUAUUCAAACUUUGCGACACUACAGAGAUUAAAGUGGUAGUAUCUCUUUCCGGAAGCCUGCAUGUGGUCAAUCAAGUCAGUUCUUGCAAAUCAAACUUUGCGACACUUCACGCACUCCUCAAGCUUUUCUAUGUUGUUGCAAAUGAAAACCAGCAUAAGCAAUCAAAUGAUAUGUUGCUUCUGUUCUGUGAUUUACACCAUUUUAAAUGAAACUUCUGGACCUGUUGGGUUAAUUGCUGCGAAUUCCAUUAGUAUCCUUUGAUUUACCACCGUCCAAUCUACCUUCCUAAUUUUCUGAAUACAUUUUCCCUGUGCAACUUGAUUUAUUCCUUGACUAACUGUAAAGAUAUGUUGCUAAAAAUAGGUAUUCUGCAAUAUUUAUAAAAGAUUAUUUCUAGCUACAUAACUUUGUUCAUAUCUAACAUUGGGAUCUCUCACGUUGUCUGUUUUUUUAAUGGAUGUUAGUAGCUGAUGACAUUCUUUACAGGGCUAAUUCUAUUUUCCUAAUUUCUAGUUUGACCACUGUUUUCUCUGAGAGGGUUUUCUUGAACGGAAUGAGGUUCAAGCAGACUGCUCCCAUUCAAAUAGCGAUUGGCAUCUCGCCACUGGAGAUGUAAUCACCAGAUCAUUGCAUAAAUAUGUGUGGCUGGUACAAGUUUCUAAAGUCUUGUUUCUGGUGCUGACAAAUUAAUGAAGUCUUUGCUAUUUUUCUAAAGACCUGUUCCUAGUGUUGACAGAUUAUCCUGGUGCCGACAGAUUAAUAAUAGAUUAAUGAAGUCUUGUUAUUGGAUUCUGUUUCAACUUUCAUUAGUGGAACUAGAAUAAAAGGAGGAGCCUUUGCUAUUUUUCUGAUUUUAGUGCAUUAACACAAGUUUUUUACAGAAUUUAUUCAGUGGAAGCAACACAUAUGAUAUUCUAGUUUUUUCAGUGGAAGCAACACAUAUAGUUUUUUUCUAUGUUAUUAGCAUUGAACUAUAUAAUUGUGUAACCAUAUAAAUUAAAAUGUGUAUCAAUUGAUGUUACUUGCAGUGUGUUAAGUGGAAGCAACACAUGAAGCGGAUAUGGAGAAGGAAGCUGGCAUGAAACUAAAACGCAUUAAGUUGACAUGUGGCGUGCAUGUUUUAGAUGUCUUAUUCUACUGCCAAACUUCCUAAUACUCCAUUUUUAUAUUAUAAUGUCUAUCUGUACGUGUGAAUGGAGAUAAUGAUAUUAUGUGAUGUGAUGAUGGAUGGAUUAGCUUCGUUGAAUAUUACAUGAUAUUAUGUGAUGGUGAUAUUAAGUGGACAUUGCAGUGUUGAUACAUGCUUCAUAUUUCUGGAUUUUUAGUGAUGUUUUAUUGUUUAUGGGUUUUCUAAAUAUUCCUUAUUUUUGUUUGAUUUUUUUUCUGAAUUUUUGAUGUAUU
rnacentral:lncRNA from 1 species